GUCCACGCCCUAAACGAUGGAUGCUAGAUAUAGGGGGUAUCGACCCCCCCUGUGUCGUAGCUAACGCGAUAAGCAUCCCGCCUGGGGACUACGGCCGCAAGGCUAAAACUCAAAGGAAUUGACGAGGGCCCGCACAAGCGGUGGAGCGUGUGGUUUAAUUCGAUGCUAAGCGAAGAACCUUACCAGGGCUUGACAUGUUAGUAGUAGGAACCCGAAAGGGUAACGAUCUCGGGGUAACUCGGGAAGCUUCCACAGGUGCUGCAUGGCUGUCGUCAGCUCGUGCCGUGAGGUGUUGGGUUAAGUCCCGCAACGAGCGCAACCCUCGUCGUUAGUUAUAUUCUCUAGCGAGACAGCCUCCCACAAGGAGGAGGAAGGUGGGGAUGACGUCAAGUCAGCAUGGCCCUUAUGCCCUGGGCUACACACACGCUACAAUGGCCGGUACAAUGGGUUGCUAAAGCGCGAGCUGGAGCCAAUCCCACCAAAGCCGGCCUCAGUUGGGAUUGCAGGCUGCAACUCGCCUGCAUGAACGCGGAAUCGCUAGUAACCGCAGGUCAGCACACUGCGGUGAAUACGUUCCCGGGCCUUGUACACACCGCCCGUCACGUCAUGGAAGCCGAGAACGAUUGAAGUCACUGAGCUAACCCGCAAGGGAGGCAGGUGCCGAGGUCGGGUUCGGUAACUGGGACGAAGUCGUAACAAGGUA
rnacentral:rRNA from 1 species